UACAGAGGUCUCAAGCGUUGUUCGGAUUCACUGGGCGUAAAGGGUGCGUAGGUGGCGAGGUAAGUCGGAUGUGAAAGCUCGGAGCUCAACUCCGAAAUGGCAUUGGAAACUACCUUGCUCGAGGGUUGGAGGGGGGGACUGGAAUGCUUGGUGUAGCAGUGAAAUGCGUAGAUAUCAAGCGGAACACCAGUGGCGAAGGCGAGUCCCUGGACAACUCCUGACACUGAGGCACGAAAGCUAGGGGAGCAAACGGG
rnacentral:rRNA from 1 species